UUUAAUUUUAUAAUUUGCUUUUAAUUCGAUGUUUUAUAUAUUUAUAUUUGUUUAAAUAUGACAAAAUUUAAUAUAUAAAAAGUCAGUUGAUGCUGACAAAAAAACUUUAGUUCAAAAUUUCGCCGUUAGAGGUUACUACUUGUACAAUGUACAAGAAAAUGGCGUUUGUGCCUCGAAGUGAUUAAAAACGCGCGAAAUCAUUAUUUUUUUUUGCACAUUGUGAAUAAUUUUUUUAGAUAUUAUAGUGUAGAAAUUACAUUAAUUAUUUUCGUUCGUGAAAAGUAUAAAUUUAGUGAUAAUAAUUAGUGUACAUGUGUCCAAAGUGAUUAAUGAAUGUGCGUUGCAAAUUUUCAGCCACACGAAUAACAAGGUCAGCAAAUAAGCAAAGAAAAGUUAACCAAACAAGUAUAUCCUCGUCAUUGUUUCAACUUUUCGCCAUACCUCGAAUCGAUCCGUCUUAUAUUACAUUUUUCACGAUUGAUUCAACGUGCGCUCAACGAAUAGUCGCAUCGAUAAUAUGUAAAAGUUUAAGAUUCGAACCCUCGAUUGAACGAGAUCUACAGGUAAGCAAUUUCACUGGGAGACCACGAGUUUUCCAAGGCGCUUCGAAGAAUAACGAUUCGCGAACCGGGUUCACGGCGAGGACGGUUGGCCGCUAUAAAUUUCCGGCCGAAGUUAUGCGCGUGGAGGAGGUGUAAGUUCUCGAAAUUGAUCGCGAAGGCGUGCGGGGAAGCGGCCCUGACCGAGUGGCUUGGACGCAGAAUCCGAAAACUGAGCGCUUCCGAAACGGACGACCAGGAUCUUUUGGGUCAGGUAUAACGAUCUCCGGGGCCUCAGCCCGGAAUAUAAACUGUUUCUGGGAACGAGCAGUCGUAUAUCUUGGCGAACGACAAUGCCAGAGUCAGUCACCCACUCAACCGUCCGGGCCCUAACCUCGAUAUAGACGCCUCUGUCGAAAUCUGGACACGGCCGGAGAAGAUCGAAUUGACGUAAUCUCGCUUCUCGUCCCGAUUUUUUAUUCCAGAUCUCUUCGGUGUGCGUCCUGAUUCGUGUUCACGUCGCGCGUUCCGUCCAAAUCUCAAUUUGGAAGUCGGUUUUUCUGCGUUGAAUUCGUAGAAUUCGGAACGGUGAGGAUCAAUAACACGGCUCGAGACUCCCCGUUACUUUAUCUGGUAGCUGAGCAUCUUGUCGCAUGGCGUUAGCGCGGCAGUCAACUGUGACAGAUUUUUAUCGGGAAUCGAGGAGACACGCCGUCUCACCUGUGCUCGUUCCUCGGUCAUAGAGAAUCCAAGUUCGGAUCGUGUUACCUCUCUUACCCCGGUUCUUCCCUUCCGUGAACAAUGCAUUGGAAUUUUUUUUUUUUUUUUUCGUAGAUCAGACGUCGUUGUCGUUGCGAUGGUCCAAAGAUACGAGAGAAAUGCAGGAAAAUGACGAUUCACAAUUUUUAAUUUCGACCUCGAUCCACGAUGAUUUAUUAUCGAAACUUUCCACGAUGUUUCUGUACACUUUUCGUUCCAUUGUAUUUUCGCGAUGUAAUGUAUCACCCUCCGCAUUUAAAUCAUCGUUUAUAUCCUCUUCAUUCACAAUUCUCUCUGCGUUCGUAUACGUAUAUUCGCUAUCGAUCGCAGUCCAUAAUCCCGGAGAGUGGGAUGAUCUCGCGCGAGAGCAUUCACGUUCGAUUACAAUUAACUCGAAAGAAAUUCGAGCAUUGUAUCGCAACACACACCCUCGUCACCUUGGUCGCAAAUGAUCUUGGUCGGGAAUCGGGGAGGGGAUGAAUAAAAGACGGAGAAACACGAUGAUCUUAAUGACCGAGAACGCAAUCGUAGCCUCGAGAAUGGUACGGAGAGGCAGCAGUCGAGUCGUUUUGAAUGGAAUAAUUAGAUGAUUAUCUUUUAUUUAUCCGCGGCUUUGAUCAGCCGCCCCUAUUCGGCAUAAAAGGACGCCAUUUGCAAUUAUUCGAAGGGAAGAGGAAGCGUAUCGUUUCAGCGGAAUGAUACCUCUAUUAUAAUCAAGCCACCCAUUGCGCCAGUUUCUUUCGGUUUCCUCUUCCUCUCUCACUCCCUCUCUCCACGCGUACGCGUAGGCUACCUAUCUCCGUCCAACUGGAUUCUGAUUCAGAAAUCAACCUCGUUCCUCCAAGAAAAUAACUUUAUUUCAAUCGAGUUAUUUCUUUCUUUUUUUUUUCCUGCGAAUUUCGUUACCCCAAAUUCAUCCCUCUCAACCCUUCUCGUCAUCAUCGUAAUCAUCCUCCUACCACUGUCAAUGUCAGUAAUUUCAGCCCAAGAAUUUUUCUCGAUCCAAGAGAUUCUCGACGAGAAUGCUGAAUUUGAUCCUGUCUUCUCGAUAUUGGCCAAUUCUUCUAGGAAAAAAAGUGCACAGGUCGCACACUUGGGAUAGAAGAUCGAUAUAUAUAUAUUUUUUUCUCCCCCCAAGGACAAACGUCGAACUGGUGGCAAUAAAACGACAAAGAGAUUUUGGUUCGUUGCACGUCGGGCCAUUAACAGUGAUUCCAUUCCAUCGAUGGCCGAAUGACUCGGUCGAGAUCAUUGUUGGCCAGCAUCCUGGGUGGCUUCGUUUCAUCGGAUCGUUGGAGGGCUGGACCGAGUUCUCGCCUGGACAAUGAUGAUCCCGCCGCGCCUUUUCCUCAGAUCUCCAGAUUCCUUACCUGUCCAGCACCAGCACCCCCUUUGCGACACACGACGCCCGUGUUUUCACUGCGCCUGCCUUCUCCUCCACCCCCGCUUUUCUUCCACGAUCUCUCUGUUUUCUCGUACUUUUUCUUCCAGUACAUCGCCACGACCCAUCGCCACUCGCCAUCCUCGACCACACAGAGGGGGGUUCCGGAAAAUUGCGCCGAGGAUCGCUCAAUUUCCUUCGAGUUCCAACAGCCGCAUAAUAGGGCCAGAUAGGAUCACACGAUGAUUUACACGUUCCCUCACGAAACUUUCGCUCCCAUUCACACGUUCUCUAAUUGUCGACGAAACAGCAGGUUAAAACUCGUCGAUGUACGAGAACAAAAAUAAUAAAUAUUAAAAAUAUCGCGGCGCGAAUUUCUAAUUGGAGAGGCGAUAGUUGUUGGCCAUCCGUCCAGGAUGAAUAUAUAUAUAUAUAUAUCUUUGUGAGGCCUCGAAUCUUGACCUUGAAUGACGGCCAAAAAAAAAGGUGCCACUCCUCACGAGAGAAUUGUUGGAGAAGCGUCGAAAAGUCAAAGGAUUUUGGACAAUCGAGGUCUGGUUUCAAAGUGAAAUUGUGUAUGUGUGUGUACAAAGAAAGAAGGGGGCGGGGGGGAAGAGAGAGUCGGGAAGAAAACAAGAGUGAGGAGAGGGGAGAGAAAGAGGAAAAAAGUGGAAGAAGGACAUUUUUCGCGGUAAAAUUUUCAUCGAUGGACGAAAUGAACUGUACGCGGGAUCAUAAAUAAUCUGGUAGGAAAGGGAAAUCCAAAAACGAAACCACUACUGGCUGUAAAAGUUUAUGGUGUUUGGACCUUGGAAGGCCGGGAACGGGUCUGUGUGUGUGGAAACGGAAGUGAAACUCGGACUUUUGCGGAUAACUGUGGGAGGGUAAGUUGAACGUCGACUUUAGAAGAGAAGCGAUCAGUGGUUGAACAACGUCGGUCGUCCUCAUGGUCCCGAUUCUCUUGUGGAAAAACACGGGAAGAAAAAAAGAGGAAUCGUGAUAUACGACUUAUUAUACGAGAUUUACAACCGACUUGCAGAUCUAAGUCGCGUUAUUGUUUCAAUCCUUCUCUCUUUCUCUCUCUCUCUCUUUUUUUUUCCCUUUUUUGUUUCUCGUUUCGGUUCGCUUUUUCGGGAUUGCGAGUUUUCGAAAACGAGGGAAGAAAACUGGUGGUUGGAAAGCGUAUGCUCUACCGUGGAAAUUGGAAGAAUGGGGAAUCGUGGCCGAGGAAAGUUUGAUAAAGGAGUUGAUUUUUUAAGGGACGCUUCUCUUUAAAAAAAGAAGGAAAAAACUUUAGAGAUUUUUUAAGCGAGAAUUUUUCUCAAGGAACGAAGAAAAGAGAAUCAAAGAUACGCCGAAGAUUUCGAGAUUCUAUCCUCGAAGCGAAGCGAAAUUCUUUUCUUCUCUUCGAAAGGGAGAGAGAAAAGAGAAAAGAAACGGAAGAAGAAAAAAAAGGAGGAAGAGAAGGAAAGGGUGGAAAAGCGCGAUAUUUGCGGAUAUUUUUUCGACGUAAAUUACUCCCGAUAAGGAAGAAAUUUACGUCCUCGGAGGGUAAAAAAUGAAAAAAAGGUAAAAAAAAAGAAAGAAAGAGAGAAAGAAAAAAAGGAGGGCUCCGCCGCGUGUUGCUUGCGAUUUACGGCGAGUGUUGUACACUCGUGAAGAAUUUACGUCGAACGUGCGUGCCUGCAUCCACAUGUACAAUUAUUUUCCGACAUGAUGCAUUGACGUGAGUCACGUACACUCGACCAGACACUGGCCGCGGUCCCUUUUUUCGCGAUUCCGCGCUAUUAUCGUUCUUUCCCCUCUUCUUUCCCCCGCGACCUCGUAAUAAAUCCCCUUUUUCAUCGAUGCAAAAAUAGAAGGCCAUUUCGAAUCAUCCCGUUUCCACGAUUUAAGAGUCUGCACGAGAAAAAUUUUCAUUCCACGCUUCUUCCGAUCCGAGGGAUCGUUCCACUCUCCUCGUCAUCGUGAAAUCGUUAUCCUUACUUCCAGCUCCAGAAUUUUCUCCAAAGCUCUUAACUUAUCCUCCAACUUGACGAUCCAAAAACUUUCAGAUUUGGAUCAUUAUUUGCCGUAUUAUUUCACUGUCUCGUGUAUUACCAUUCAAAUUUAAAAUUUUAUUAUAAAAAAAAAAAAAGAAUUAUUAAAAUCGAAUAAUGAUAACGACAACGAUCUUCGAUUUGUAUAAUGGCAAGUUCGUGUUUCAAAAUUAUGUAAUAAAAAUAGCAUUCAAUUUAGAUCCUGGAAUUUUUUACAGUAAAAUAAUAAAGGCGAUUAUUGUAAUCUCGAAAGAAAUCUUCAACAAUUGUAUUUAUAACUCGCGUUUAAUUAUUAAUAGGCGGAUGCAAGGUAACUCGAGAUUAAACCGUUUUAUCGCUGGAAAUGGUGCACGCGAGUUUGCACGGCACCAAGUUGGAAACGCCGAUAUGACGUCCUCUCACGAGAUUGAAAGGCGCGUUUACAUGCACGUAACCUCGUUCCCCGGCCUCUUGCUCGUCGCAAACGCAAUCAUAAAGCACCAGCACCUUCCAUACGGGGGUGAUUGGUGACCCUGCUCGCUUCGAGCCACGAUCGUACAUCGAAUCCCCGUUAAUCGAUCACGCGACCUGGUUAUCGUGUCUCUUGUCACGAUAUUGUAAAUCUUUCUUCCUAAAUAAAUCCCCAAAACGUGUAACUCUCGAAUACAUUAAUGUUCGAUACAAUAAUGUAAAUUGAACGAUCCAUUAUUAUAAUUUCUAUCUUGAAGAAACGAAAUAUUUCAAAUUUCAAAAGAUUCCUUCGGAAAAUCCAAACUCGAAUACUCGAUCGAUACCCAAAUUGUAUCCAAAACAGAUAGAUUCUCGAAUCGUACGAAUAUUGAAUCGCUCUUUCGCCGAAUCCAUAUCUUCCAAAAGACGGGGAGAGAUUCCAUUUCCAUUCAACCCAAAUUUUCCAAAAAAAAGAAAAAGAUUUUGCGUGAUCGCAACUCCAAAAAACUUAACAAACUCAAAAAAAAGAGGGAGAGAAGCGAAAGGAGAGGAAGGUCGAGGAGGAAGGGGGAGGGCGAGCGAAUGGAAGGGAGCGUGAGGAGAGCGAGAGGAGGAGAGGAACACAUGUCGUUCGGUGUACCCCGCGGUGCCACGGGGUUCUCUAUGCGUGGGAUUCAUAUAUUAAGCGCGAAGCACCGGCCGAAACCCGGCGAUGCAGCGAGGAGGAUAAGAAAGGUGGGGGGUAAGGGAGGAAGAGGCAUCGGAUCGGCAAGGAGGAGGACGGCUGCGAAGCGAACCAGAGACAGAUGAACUAAUGCUCGAAACCGCGGGGGGCUCGUGCUUUCGAGCGUCUAAUGAUUUAGCCGGUGCAACGACGCGCCGCUGGUGCUGGCAGCACCGGUGAUACGCGCGCUCUGCCUCGAGCGCGUUGAUGCUCGCCGGAUUUAUUCGGGCCGACAACGAUCGCGAACUCGAUUUUCAUCGCAGCCGCGAUUCGCCUCGCGUAGACGACCGGCUAAGUGCCGCUUGAUCGCCCCGGCCAUCUCGAAUCCCGACGAAAAACCCUCGCCUCUUGCGGUCGUUGUUCGAUGUUUCAGAAGCGAAUGUUUCGACAAAUAUUCGAAUAGUUUCGUUCUGUACAAGUUCGAUAACUUGGAAUUUCUCGAAUUUUCGUGACACUUUUUUCCUUUUUUUUCUUCGAUUUUGUACCUUUUCUGCUUUGAACUUUGACUAACCGUUUUAAUUCAUUAGGGGAGUUUUUAAUCUUUUGGAAAAAUUGGAUUCGAUAAAAAUAAAUAUGUCCAAUGCUCUUCAACGUGUGUAAACGUUCCGUUGUUGAAAAUUGAAAAAUCUAGAAGAACAUCUAGUUGGUGCACCUGGAGAAAGCGAGCGUGUGAGGAACAUUUGGCUGGCACGAGGUCCGUGGCGGCCGUUCCGGUUGUCGGGGAACAAUUGGAGGAGACAAUGGAGAGAGCACAUGGGAAAAGGAAAAUCGAAUUGGAACUAUUUUGUCUUCUCGCGCUAAAAAUUGCCCCGCCACGCAUGGUGCGAAGUCGAAGAAACCAUCCCUUACAGGCCAUCCUUAAAGAAAAUCGAGCGGUCUCUUUGAAACCUUCCGUCCUUACUCGAUCCUCCUCCUAUCUUGGAUCCUUUUGAUCCGAGUGUUACGAAAGUCGAUGAAGAAAAAUCCGCUUUCAAAGUGGUCGAAAAUUUUCCUCCUCCGAAAGAUAAUAACCGACUUUUGAUUCUAUAGUACACUCUGAACCAUACUUCUCAAAAAAAAAAAAAAAAUAAAAGGAUUUCAAGAAGAUUGAAAAUUUGCCUAAUCCCUUUAUCGAAGCCGAUAUCAAAAAAAAAAAAUCCUCCAAAGAAAACACAAUCGAUUUCAGCAUCGUUCUCAACGGAUCGGGGUGUGGCAUGGAGGAAAGGACGGCGGCUACUCGAAGGUGGGGGGAUGCGCCGCGAGAUAUCUAAUCCCAUUCUCCGCGCGAUUAAGUAAACAUCGCAUUAGACGGCUGGAACACGUGAGACGCGCGAAGACCGGGUACACGCGGAUCGGUAACAAAUGCGAGGCGAUAUAAAAUAAUAAGCCUAUUAGUCACGGGUCACGGGGAUCCACCUUUUGUGGGGUGGAACACGGAGCGCGUGUGUCUGCUUUGUAUCUAUCAUUGUGCUCGGGAUAUUUAUGACGCUCUUACGCAUCACCUCGAACGAAUCUUUUUCCCCGGACUUGUGCUGGCAAUCACGUGCCUCUGACACACUUUCCCAAUCGAACAGUUAUUAUUAUUCGGAGACACGAAUUAUCGAAAUUAUCGAAGUUAGAAAGCAUAGGAUGGUGGUUUAUUGUUUCUCGCCAAAAUCUUUCCGAGAUCUAUAUAUAUAUAAAAGAAAUCGUGGAUACGUAAUCGUUCGUAAAUAAUUGCGUAAAAUGAAAGAAAUUCCAGACAGACUCGUCUCGUCACCUGAAUUCGGUAAAGCAAUUAAAAAGGCGAGGCGACCGAUCUCUCGAAGAGGUUGGCUGAUUAACAACCGGAUCCAAGGUGUUCCCCCAAUUCCGUUUCACGAAUUCCAUCCAUUCGAUUAUCGUUCCAUUGUUUGUCAUUCCGUUACACGCUCGAUCCGGGAAGGAUUUAAUCCCGAAGCAUUAAUAAACGGUAUCCCUCCCCCGCCCUCCCCGGUCCCGGGGGGACCUCUAGCGUGUGGCCGUGUGCGCGACUCUAACCUUAUCCCGGUCCCACAGUAUUCACGGGGCGAUUUAUGGCGCGUCCACUCAUUCAUAAAAAUAUUAUUCAAAUUUAGAAUGUCUAGACGAUGGCGGCGAUGAGGCGGGCGGGGGAGGUCAAGGGGGGAGGGUGAUGCCUGGGGCCCGUGCGUGUCCCCGAAGUCUCAUCGACGAUCCUUAUCUCGUUCAUUGAUAACUCUGGUGUCUCAAGUCCAAGCCUCGUGAACCUAUGCUUUUUAUUCCCUCCGGAAUUGAGGAUCGAAGGUGCGGCGCUCGCCCGAAUGAAACGAAUGGCCUGCAGUUGCUUCUUUUUCUUUUUUUUCGAAGAAGAAGAAGAAGAAGAGUGAGCUUCCUUUUACCUUUUUCCUUCGAGGAGAUGAUUAAGGAAUUAUCAGGAGAAGAGAAGAAAUUGAAUGAAAUUAUAAUGUGGAAUUUAAUUUUUUUUUUUUUCUUUUUAAUUUGAAAUAUUCUACCAGAAAUUUAUUUAUAAUGAUGUUAAACGUCGAAAGGAUUUUAUUGAAAUUUUGAGAAGCGAAGAGAGAGGAGAGGGGUUCUCGAGGAGGAUUUCCAAGAAUGUACGGCUACGUUUCGAGGUUCCUGGUCGAUGUUUCUUGCGGCUUGGUUCGUUCUUUCUUCGACGGGCCAGCUAUUUCUCGCGGGGGACGUACGCGAUGCCAUUAAAUUUUCGCCCCACAUAAUACGCGGCUCGAUCGUAAAAUUCUGCGAAAAGAAAGAGAGAAAGAAAGUGAGAGGGAGGAGGAGGGAAGGGCACGGGUUAUAAUUUAUAGCACGAGCAGCCGCGAAUCAAGAUGUAAGCGUGGGCGAUACGACGAGACACCGUCGCCCGAAAGGGUCGAAAAAAUGUCCUCGGGGCGAAAGCGGAGACUUUUUCUCGCCCCUUUCGUAUCCCGAGAAUCUGCUUCGUACGAAAUAGUCGCAAAUUUUUCUUCGUUUCGAACAGUUCCAUUCCACACUUUCCACGGAGGAGGAGAGAAAAAGAAGGGAGGAAUUUUGUCGGUGGGAUCUCCUGACUGAGUAGAAGUUUUUGAAAAUUGAUAAAAGUUUGCUUCGAGUUCGUAUCGUGCGAAGGGAGGGGAAAGAGGGCGAAGGAUGGUGGUCCGUUUUAAUUGAGAGAUUAAAAAAAGGAUGGGACACGGCAGUUCGGAGUGAAAGAUAGCCAUUGUUUGACCGCACGCGGCGCAAACGCGGCGCACACGUAAUCCCAAACAAAUUUGCGGAUUACACUCGCAGCAUGAAUUAUUUAAUCUCAGCACGGCCUCAUUGGUUUAGUUAGUGACCCGUGGGCUCUCACAGAAGAGAUCGCACACGCCCGCUCACCGUGAUUCCAUCUCUCCCCCUCGUCCAUCCACUCCCCUUUUCUUUUCUCAAACUCUCUCUCUCUCUGUUCGUAUCCCGUCCCUCGAUUCCAAACUUUUCCAACCCGCUCCAACGUACGUCAUCGUCAGAAAUAAGGAUUUUUAAUCUUCUUCCUGGAUCAAAAAAAAAAAAUUUUAAAUUUCGCCCGUGCAGAAUUAGCAUAGAUACGCGUAAAUGCGAAACGGAGCGAAGAUUUAUGGAAAUGAAAGGAAACGAUCGAAAGAUCCAUCGAACGACGGAGAGUUGAGAGCAGAGCGGCGUUGGAGAAUCGUGAUCGCGUGCCCAGCUCGAAUACGAACGAAUACGAACCCCUGGCAAAGAGGUCGAGGGAAUCGGCACUCUCCUCCUCGAUUUUAUUUCCCUCUCGAUCGGCGGCACGCGAUAGCUACUUAUUUUCGCUUAGACGGGCCCGACUGUUGGAGGAGGGUUACGGAGGAGGGGGUAAGUUACGGAAUCACGUGCACGUGGGGGGUAGAGCGGACGACAUACGGGAACACCGUGUCCCACAUACUCUCUGUGCGUCCGAUUGCACAGCGAGCACGACACCGGGUGCCCCCAUUGGUUCUCCAUAGUGGAUAAAGGCGAGAUGGGGGGUCCUUUGGCUCCCUUACUUUAUUCCGGCCGCGCUAGGGGGCGCCCCGUACACUGGGCGGGAACACGAGUGCUAAAAGCGUAAUGAUCGCUAAACGAAACCUCCCUGACUCCGUGGCCACGGUUCUCCAGAGUACUCGAGACCUCUCCUGUGCUCGGCCAAUGCGCAUAACCGCCCGCAAACCCCUAAUUAAUCGACGGUUGAGCGAGGGUGGAGCCCUCGAGGGCGGAUAGGAAGAUCCCCGCCAUCUUGUCGGGACAGGAGGCUCGCUCUGUCGAGGAGAUCUCGCUUCUCUGCGAGAGAUUUAUAGGCGAUUUAUAGUAUAAACGAAGCUUCCAUUUCCAAGUUAUCGUUAACGAAGUUUUUCGUUGUCGAAUUUUUGAAUAGGUGAACGAAAUUGGCCGAGAUAAAUUGCAAGUUUCUUUGCAAGUUUGGAGAAAUAAGAAGGUACUUUUAACUUCCUUCCAUCGUUUUUUAUUUUAUUUAUAAAUUUGGAAUAUGUUUAUUGUCCGAUCAUUUGAUUUUUACAUCGACUUUAGAAUACUAAAUGGAAAUGUCGAUCCAAUUGUGGCGACGCAUAUAUGGAACAGAACCCGUGGACAUUUGGUCAGUCACAAUCCGAUUAGAUGGGACACUGGCCUGCUCUGGGUGGCGAUCAAGGCGGAGGAACUGCAUACGUGAUUUUCUGUUCGAUCGGCUUAGAACAACCAGGUGGCCUUAACGGCAGUUGUUUGCAACGGUGCCCUGGUUGCAAAAAAAAAAAAAGAGAGGAAAGGAAGGAAAGGGGAGAAACGGAGGGAAAAGAAAGAAAGGAGAGCGAGCGAGUAUUGGCGCGCUCGCUCCAAGAGGCGAAAUCAUCGACUCGGCUGUUAAAAUUAUAGAGCGAAAACGGGCGUCGCGGUGCCUCCCAGGGAGAAGGGCCAUUCAAUCGCGAGGAACCCCCGCGAGGAACCGCGACAAUGGUACCCGCCACGAGCCCCCUACCUCCUCCACGGCCACCGUGUACCCCCUUCGCGGGGGGUCCCUCUCUCUGUCUGCUACUGGUCAUUUGAUCGACGCGUUCGUUUCCACGUUUUCGCGUUCCAUCCACCCUCGGCGAUCCGUUGAAAAAUCGACCAGCCUCGCGAUCAAUCCCUCGAAAAAGAAGUUCACGCGCAUUGUUGUUGUCCAAUCUUCUGUCCAAACUCGACAAAAAUAUCACGGUAAACGUGAAAAAUUCGCGAAAUGCGGACGAGUUUCCAGAAGAAAAAAAAAGAAAAAAUGCGAAAGAUUCGACAAAUUUUCGAUUCGAGGGAAUUCGAAAGGGAAUCUUCUCGAAUAAAGCGGAAAUAAAACAACAGAAAGGGGGGAAAAAUGAAAUUUCGAACGAAAUUCGGUGAAGAAAAGCAGUGAUUAAUUCAAUCCCGAUAUCUGAUAAAUCUGAAUUUAGGGGGAGAAUUGGAUUCGAAAUUGGGACGAAACUCACGCACCCUUUUCCGGAUCGCCGGCGAAAUUGGAGGGAAGAGGGGAGGGGGAGAGAAGGCGCAUUGAACGGGACGCGAACCCCCGUAAGCAACCGCGACAAUGAACGCCCAUUCGCGGGGGGUCCCUUCUGUAUACGCCAUCGGGAUUCACUUGGCAUUGGCACACGCAUACGUGCGAAACCCGACUUCGUGCUUAGGCUCGACACGCGUGCCACCCCGAAAAACGUCGCAUGCGAUAAACGUGCGGGGCAGCAAAGCUGGAUUCGUUUGUUCCACGUUUUUUCUACCUUCUUCCUUUUUACUUUUCUGUUGACUCUGACGAGAGAUGGCCCGUUAAUAAAGUUUCUUUAGUUGCGCCGAAAGAGUUAAGGAAGAAAAGUAACUGGAAAGAAUUCAUCGAUCUUAUGAAACUGCAACUCCGUGCAUUCUCGUUUUCUCGUUGACAAGAAGAUGCCUAUCGAUAGAAUUCUAUCUCGAUUGAAAAAAUUCGAAUCGAAAGAGAAUUGUUUGAAAAUCGAAAUUAACUUCUCAAUAUUUACGAUAUUAUCCAUUCUAAAAUAAUCUUGUAAAUAAUCUCUCAUCGGCUGAUUAAUCCAAACACGCGAGCAAUCGGUUCGAAGUGUUUGCAAAUAGGAUCGUCGUGAAUAGCGUCUUGAAUCGAGCUUCGACUUAGGAACGUUUAUUAGGCAUCUCGAGCAUACGAGACGAGAAGAGGGGAACAAAAGAAGGAGGAAGGAGAGGAACGGCGGCCUCGCGACGAAGCGCAAUCCCUCCUCCUCCAAACCGAUCUUCCGCGUCGUCAGCUUCGCGCGUCGGAAGCUCAAAAGCGUGGAAACGCUUUCUAUUUUUUUCGACUUCGAGUGCCACUUCGCCUCGAGUUCCACUCGACUUCGGCGAGUAUGGGGCCAGAUGUUUCCUCCGAGUGCUUGCCACUCCUUCACGCGCGCGUACAGCACGCGCUGCCUCGCGCGUGCAGCCCGAGAAAAGCUUCGUGAACUGGCGACAACACGAUUUUUCCCCCCUCGUGCCGUACUUGGCGGAGGUAAAAACCUUUGAGUGAAAAGUGUGAAAGAUGAUUGCUUACGAAAGGUGGCGAGAACCGUAUUCGUCUCUCUUUGUUCCCUUAGUUGUGCUCUCUUCUUUCUAGUUUUUCCUUUUUCCAAAUUACUCUCUCCAUCUAUGCAUUCUGAUAUAAUUUCACAAUUGGAUGAUUAUGUAAUAGAAUCUCUGAUUAACUGGGUUAACAACAAAAAGAAAUGUAAGAGAAAAGAAAUUAAUAGGAGAAUUAUUCUAUAUUUCUUAUAUAAUAAUCCUCGUUUCUUCCUCUUCAGAAAUUCUUCAUUCGUGCAACGAAUUCCUCCGACUGGGAAGUUGAACUCUCUUCCAACUCCUUUACCUCACCGUUCUUUAGUUGCACAGAACCGACUUCCGAAAAUCGAUCAUCUCUCCAUCAUUUACGCGUCCACUCGUUCAAUCGUGAUCACCGUGAUGCCGUUUUUCUAUCGUACCGAUCGAGAAGGGGCUCUGAUCGAAAAGGGGAACGCGAUCGUUGGAUGGCCAACAUUAGUCGAAUCGAUCCCCGGCCCAUUUCGUGCACGGAGAUGAGAUGACCCCACAAUGACUAAAAGCAUCUUUGAGCGAAACUCAUCUACCCGUUCCGUCGAGCAACAAUGCACCGAUACAAUUGAUACGCCUUCCUUCCACCCGCGACUCGUCCUUUUUUCCACUCGAUGCAUCAACCAACGUUUCGCGCUCGUGUUAUUAGACAUCGAGGCGGUCUUCGAUCCCGGCUAAUGAGGAUCACAAACGGGCCGCCCAAUCGUACGAUGAAAAACAUUCUCCAACAACUAUCGAUUUCCAAUGCUCCUCUCAUCUCGACUCUUGCAUCUUCUCUCUCGAGGAAGAAAAUGAGGGUGAGAAAGAAGAAAGAAAUUUUGGCACUUUUUCCGCACUUUCGAGAUGGAAUUUCUUAAACAUACAUAUUUUCUUUUCCUUUUUUUUCGAAGAAAAUUCGAAAAUGCGAAAUAUCUUGCGACGAGAAGAGGAGAAUAAGGUUGAACAAAAGGUUGAGAGAAUUGUUGGAGAGAGUUGUUGGAAGAUCAAAAGUUGGCACCCGUGGCAAUUUUUUAUUUAUCGAGUCGUACGUCUAAUGUUAUUGUUGCGGAACGGACAGUUGCCCCCAACUUCGAUGGUAAUUUACCGUUUUGCCUCUCUCCUUACUCCCACGUACACGUCUCUCUCGCCUCUCCCGACCAAGGAACGCGGUUGGAAGGCAAUAAAGCCGGCCGUAAAUUCUGCGCUACUUUUUGCACAGCGCUGCGCAAAAAGGGGGCCCGCGUUGUAAAUCUUCCCGGAACUGGGAAUGGUCCUCUAAUAUCGCUGCGAUUAUCGAGAUUCUGGUAAAGGGAUACUUCUGUCACUUUCUUUACGCCACAAUUGGAGUUAAUUUCCCAACUUUUACAGUGUUUCCACUCCGAUAGAAACCUUCUUUUCUUGAUAAAAUUUAAUCGAAAAUAAGAGUCCUCCUCUUUCGACUUAUCAAAAACUUUCUAUGCAAUUUCUAUCGAAAUCCUUUACUCCUUUAAUUCCUUCAUCUACUCGUCGAAAGAUUCUUAAAAUUACCAUUAAUUCAUCGUAUCGAGAAUUAAAUCCAAUCUCGAACGUUUUCACGCCACGUUUUCAUUUCGAAACCAAAGCGUUAUUAUAUUAUCCAACGAUGCGAUUUCAUCAACAAUGUCGAUGACCCGUUACGCAACACUCUGUCAGCGGUGCCGUAUUUUCGUCGUUCGCGUUCCGCUUCUUUUCGGGGCCUGUCGGCGGGUCCGCAUUAAAGGGAGGCGGCCACGUCCUCGCCGUGCCAAGUCACGCCUCCCGUGGCGCUUGUUGUCAUUGUCGGUACCCGCAAUCACGCAAUGAUCACGCACACGCGGACCAUUCGAUCGAUCCUUUUCGAGUAUCGAAUCGAGUAUCAAAGACGCCGAAACAAUCCUGGCAACCGCCCUCCUCGAUCCUCCUUGGUCAUCCAGCACUUCUUCUUCGUUGUCGAUAAGUUUAACAACUUUUCUGAAAAUUUGUUUCAUUUGAGAAAAGUCAAGAUAUAUAUAUAUAUAUAUUCUUUUCUUAGAGAGAGAGAUUUGUAGAUUAGAUGGAAGAAAAUUAAAAGAGUUUCCUGAAAUGUUGUUAUCCAAUUUUCAAGAUUAUCACUCUUUUCUGAAGAGAUUUUGGGUAUAAGAUUUAUUUUAUCGACAGCUUGUGAUUAAAGAAAUUUUCUGAAACUUUUCUUCUUUCUUUUUACGGGACGCAAGAAAGAGCUUGGGAAACGAUCUCUGUUUCAAUCUCCUUCGAUUUCGAUCUGCUUUAACCCGUUGUUAAACGCCAACUUUGCAAUUUUUUUCGGAAAAUACCUUUUGUAGGAAUAAAAAGAAAAAGGUGCGAGAUCUUUCACGCGGAAUACGUCUCCUGGAUCGCGAGAUCCAGUUACCCGAUCGUUGCAGUGAUCCUCGGAGGCAACGGGUGAAAGAGCAAGAGACUGUAAAAGUCGAUUGUCGAGUUCCCGCCCAGCGGUGCGCCAACCAAUCGGAAGCCCAGCUGCUCCCAGUCGCUUCCUUUUUUCCUUUUUAACGGUCGUUACACCGAGUAGUUUUCUUGUCUCAACGCCAUCUUAGCCGGGCCGGACAUUAUCGUCCACUCUCGUUGAUUAUCUUUCAGCAUCCUCGCCCACGGCUCCGUUCCAUUCUCUUCCUUCCUACGUUUCCCUCCUCCUUCAACAACAAUUAUCCGUCUCUUCUUUUCUUUUCUCUUCUUCUUCUUCUUCUCCGUGAUUUUCCCUCGAGCGAGAUGUCAAUCAAGAGGCAGAAAUUAAAGUAAAAUCCGUCGAAAGAAGAAGGGAUUCGAUUGAUUGAUACGUUUUCCUCGAGAGACGUGAUAGAGGAGGAGUGAUUAUCGAAGAGGGAUCAUUAAAAAGAAGACGAAGAGGAGAGUAAGGGUAGGAAGGAGCAGCUGCAUUGACGAAUUUCAAUGGUGAUUGGACUCUAACGGGACUCUAGGACAAUGGGCCUCGAAAAAACGUAGCUAUUCUUUAUUCGAAUAACUCUCCCCGCGUAAAUACUUCAAAUCGAAUAAUUGCUCCCUUCUUACGAUAUCAAAUUUCACGUUCUAUCCUGGAAUCUUUGAAAUUAAUUGAAAGAAGCCGUCGCAGGUGUAGAUAGAGAGAGAGAAGAAGAGAGGAAGGGAGAGACACUUCAAAAUUCUACAUCUUCGAAUCGAAAACACUCCGAUGAACCUUUAUCCUCUUCCUCCGCCCUCGAAUCGCUUCCUCGCUAUUUAUAAUUAUCCUUAAAUCCUCCAGAAGAAUCCGUAUCAAAUUUUUUCGGAAAAAAGGGAAACAACAUCCCCAAUCUCCUCUCUUCGAUCUCCUCUGUUCGAAUCGGCAACCGUCUCGUCAACGGUCCUCGGCUUAGCCACCUUUAACGAUCAUCCACAAUCUUAUUCACCUUGUUCCUUCAUUCAACCGUCAUCACUCCCCACGAUCGCUCUCCUUUUUUUCUCCUUCCCCUCUCCCUCGUCCCUCGCGCGUUUCGCGGCCCGCUCGCCGCUGGUCGUCGUGGCGUGGCCCGUGGUCGUCGUUGAAGAUCGGAUCGUGAGAAAAGUCUCCUUCCUUCCGAAGCCCUGUAAUUUGCACUUCCGUUCUCAUGGCGGGCAUGCGACAAUGCGGCCCCCCAGCGAACACAUUUCUCAGGUGUUCGACUUUCGGAGAAAAGGGGAGUAAUUCGACGCCAGCCAGCAGGUGCCUCCCCCGUCUUUGUUCCAUCGGGGAACAAUCGGGUGAAAGAGGGCUUUUAAGAGUCGCGAAUGGGGCGACUUUUAUCGAAAUCACUCGUGCGCACGUCGUGGCUCACCCUUCUCCUCUGCAUCCCCGCGAAGAAAGAGAGAGAGAGUUUCUUUCUUUGGUAUAUUAUUCGUUUUUCGUGGAUACCCGCCGGGAGAGCGAUUCGUUGCGACUCCUCAACGAACCGUCGUCUCAACGACUGUUUUCGCCUCUCCAACGUACUUUUGCGCACGUGCUUGCUUUUAUUUUGCUUGCUCGAGUGAGUGCUGCUUUCUUUCGCCUCUCUUUUCAUUCUCGUUGAACUCGUCUCGUAACAACUCGAUUGCGAGGUCUCCUUCGAGAUCGUUUUUAAUCGCGCUAUUUCGAUUGUGAGUUCAUACAUUGGAUUUGGGUCGUUUUAAUUAGAUAAGAGAAGAUGGAAUUUUUGUUUAUCGAAAGAUAUUGGGGGAAUGAUAAGUGGAUGAAAAAUUUUUACGAAACUUGUACUUUAUAACGAGAUAUUACGAGAUGAUUCUCUCAUUAGAGACUCCAAAAUCGUAAUAGAGCUGUCUGUACUUUAAUCUUUAAUUGUUGAGUUUCACGAUUUCACAAAAUUUACAUGAAAUAACGAGGAGACGGGAAAGAUGGACGGAAUUCCGCAAGGAAUUCUAUCCCUAAAUUCGCGAUGUUCCACGAAUUCCACGUUUCAGGCGCGUGAGCAGGGAAAUGAUAACACUGUACCCCCAUGUCUGGGAGGGGGAAGAACCGAGUGGAAGCUUUUGUCGCGUGUUCCCUUUGUGCCGAACACAGGAUAUAUUAAAUUCCACCAAUAUUUGUCAAGGCCGCUGAAGACCCUUCGAGGAUAUGCGCACACCUCUGUCUCUCCCUUCUUUUCCUCUUUUCCAUACGGGGUGCAAAAACGGACGAAUGAAAUGCCUAAUAACUGUGUAUUACCUUUUGUAUUACCUUUUGUCGGCGAUAUACACGCUUCAAAGAGAUCCAAAACCCCCUUUCUUCUUCCACGCGUUCGUACGUUAAUUAAAACAUCGAUUGAUUAGAUUCCUCCCUUAGGAUGUUUCCCUUAAUUUUCUCCCCGUUGUUAUUCGCAAUGAAAAAUUGAUUCAUUCGCGGAAGAAAUUUACUUGAAAGCGACGAUAAUCGAAGUUUAAAUUAAUCGACCUUUCUUGAUAUUUCUACUAUUUUUGAAAAAAAACUAAGCCUUUUUAUCUUCCUGAAAACUAGGAAAAAUUUGGAUAUCGAGAUAAGAACAAUAAAGCUUUGUCGAAGGAGAAUCUGCAUGCUUCCGAUCCGUAAAUCAGAAACAGUUUCCUGCGCGGAGGAAAGCAGUCGACUACCUGUUGCUGAAUCUACGGGCGAAUCGCUAUUUUUCAUCGAGAAUGCAAAACUAGGGAAAGCUGAAAAGGAGGAAGACCACCACCACUACCACUAUUACGACCACCAUCAUCACCAUUACCAUCCGACCACGCCUCCAUUCGGAACAGCCGUGCUCGAUACGCCUACGACUGAGUUAAAGAGAUCUGCCAUUAUUUCGAACGCGUAUUGAAAGGAAAAAGAAGGUGAAGAAAGGAUCGCAAGACUUGGCAAAAUUGGAAGAUUAAUGGAGCCUUUGAGAAAUGAAUGCAAAAACCUUGUAUUCGAUGAAGAGCAAAGUUUUCUUCACAUUUUUGAUAUAGAAUUUAAAGAUUGGGGAAGAAUUCGAACGAAGUGCACGAAAACAUCCUUUUUUUUCAAUCUUCGUUAACCGUUCGCUCGAGAUUCCUCAUCGAAACAUCCCGAGAGGUGGACGCAGGAUAGCAGGAUCGAAUAAACGACGAAGAGGGAUAUAUCCGGAACGGAGGGAAAUAAAACGAAGAGAAGGGAAGAUAGUUUCUGCCUCACUGUUCCACGAGCACGUCGCGCGGAUUUCACGCGGAUAGAUUUCAAAUCCCAUCUCGCGCAUCGUUCGCUCUAGAUUCUCGGUCCAUUAUUCCGAAGGACUUGGAUGAAAGGGACCCUUCGUUCCACGACCCCGACACAACCGGUAACACGUCGGAUACGAAGGCAAAACGGUGUGUAAUCACCGUCCUCGGAUUACGGUGAUACCGUUCCUCGAAGAAUGACACGAAUCCCUGUACCCCUCUCCCUCCCUCUCCCUCUUCCUUUUUUUAUCUCGAAUUACUCCAAAUGGCGUUAUGCUCCGAUUUUCUUGAAUCCAUUGAUCUACUUGAAGGAUUGUGCAGGAUUUUAAGGAAUUAAGGAUACCGGGAGAGGAAUGUUGGAGGAGGAAUAAAAAUCUUGUUUAAUAAUCUGUUUAAUUUGUCGCAUAAUUCCGGGAAAAAUUGCGGUUCGUUAUUGGCGACGACGAAAUAUCCUGAAUGAAACGUAUGUACGUGUAUAGUAAUAUGGAGAAGAAGUAUAUAUGAUGUAAAGAAAUACAAAGAAUCAAAUAAGGACAGAUAUAGGAUAAAAAUUAGAAAAUCAGCGCCAUCUCCAGAGUGCCGCAAAAGAAACAUACGAAGAAAGGAUAGAAGAUGGAAAGAGAAGAACAGAGAUAAAAAGAUAAGUGUGAAAGAAAUAUACAUUUGUGUAAAUUAUGGAAAAUGUUUUAAAUCUCAGAAACAAUGAUUAGGAACAUUGGGGAUAAUGGUAUAAUAUUUUGACAUAAUUUCCGAAGAUUCCAAGGAAUUGAUCUCAUUUCCAAAAACUAUCAAAAAUAUUCUUAUCAAUUUAGAUGAAAAAACAAUUAAUUAAUUUACGCCAACAUGAGAAUGUAUUAAUAAAAAUAAUAAUAUGUGCCACAAAGGACAGUAGCUCGAAAAAGGUAAGUAUAUAAAAUACAUACUUCUGUUAUUCAUAUUCCUUUAUCCAGUAUAUUCCUGUGCUCCAAUUUUGCACAAUCCUACAUUCCUAUUAUCCAUAUUCCUUAAUUCUAAAUAUUCCUGUAUUUUUAUUAUCCAAAUUUUUCAAUCCUGAAUAUUCCUGUGUUCCUAUAUUCCCAUUAACCUUAUUUCUUAAUCCUUUAUAUUCCUGUGUUCCUAUAUUCCUUAAUCCUUUAUAUUCCUGUGUUCCUAUAUUCCCAUUAUCCUUAUUCCUUAAUCCUUUAUAUUCCUGUGUUCCUAUAUUCCCAAUAUCCUUAUUCCUUAAUCCUUUAUAUUCCUGUGUUCCUAUAUUCCUUAACCCUUUAGAAAUAAGAAAACUGUUGAAAAACAAUUAUUUAAGUAGCUGAAAAAAAGUAAUAACAGGUAAGUAAAAAAGGUAAGUAAAAAAAGGUAAGUAAUUUGCUAAUGAUUUCUGAAAUUUUCGAAAAUUUCGAAAAUUUUUGUAAAUAAACAUUGAAAAUGUAAAUAAACAAACCGAGAAUGUAAAUAAACAUUGAAAAAUGUAAAUAAACAAACCAAUGUUUGUAAACAAACCGAAAUUUCAACUCCCAGGCCUUAAAUUUUCGAAAAUUUCGAAAAUUUUUGUAAAUAAACAUUGAAAAUGUAAAUAAACAAACCGAGAAUGUAAAUAAACAUUGAAAAAUGUAAAUAAACAAACCAAUGUUUGUAAACAAACCGAAAUUUCAACUCCCAGGCCUUAAAUUUUCGAAAAUUUUGAAAAUUUUUGUAAAUAAACAUUGAAAAUGUAAAUAAACAAACCGAGAAUGUAAAUAAACAUUGGAAAAUGUAAAUAAACAAACCAAUGUUUGUAAACAAACCGAAAUUUUAACUCCCAGGCCUUAAAUUUUCGAAAAUUUCGAAAAUUUUUGUAAAUAAACAUUGAAAAUGUAAAUAAACAAACCGAGAAUGUAAAUAAACAUUGAAAAAUGUAAAUAAACAAACCAAUGUUUGUAAACAAACCGAAAUUUCAACUCCCAGGCCUUAAAUUUUCGAAAAUUUCGAAAAUUUUUGUAAAUAAACAUUGAAAAUGUAAAUAAACAAACCGAGAAUGUAAAUAAACAUUGAAAAAUGUAAAUAAACAAACCAAUGUUUGUAAACAAACCGAAAUUUCAACUGCCAGGCCUUAAAUUUUCGAAAAUUUCGAAAAUUUUUGUAAAUAAACAUUGAAAAUGUAAAUAAACAAACCGAGAAUGUAAAUAAACAUUGGAAAAUGUAAAUAAACAAACCAAUGUUUGUAAACAAACCGAAAUUUCAACUCCCAGGCCUUAAAUUUUCGAAAAUUUCGAAAAUUUUUGUAAAUAAACAUUGAAAAUGUAAAUAAACAAACCGAGAAUGUAAAUAAACAUUGAAAAAUGUAAAUAAACAAACCAAUGUUUGUAAACAAACCGAAAUUUCAACUCCCAGGCCUUAAAUUUUCGAAAAUUUCGAAAAUUUUUGUAAAUAAACAUUGAAAAUGUAAAUAAACAAACCGAGAAUGUAAAUAAACAUUGGAAAAUGUAAAUAAACAAACCAAUGUUUGUAAACAAACCGAAAUUUUAACUCCCAGGCCUUAAAUUUUCGAAAAUUUCGAAAAUUUUUGUAAAUAAACAUUGAAAAUGUAAAUAAACAAACCGAGAAUGUAAAUAAACAUUGAAAAAUGUAAAUAAACAAACCAAUGUUUGUAAACAAACCGAAAUUUCAACUCCCAGGCCUUAAAUUUUCGAAAAUUUCGAAAAUUUUUGUAAAUAAACAUUGAAAAUGUAAAUAAACAAACCGAGAAUGUAAAUAAACAUUGAAAAAUGUAAAUAAACAAACCAAUGUUUGUAAACAAACCGAAAUUUCAACUGCCAGGCCUUAAAUUUUCGAAAAUUUCGAAAAUUUUUGUAAAUAAACAUUGAAAAUGUAAAUAAACAAACCGAGAAUGUAAAUAAACAUUGGAAAAUGUAAAUAAACAAACCAGUGUUUGUAAACAAACCGAAAUUUCAACUCCCAGGCCUUAAAUUUUCGAAAAUUUUGAAAAUUUUUGUAAAUAAACAUUGAAAAUGUAAAUAAACAAACCGAGAAUGUAAAUAAACAUUGAAAAAUGUAAAUAAACAAACCAAUGUUUGUAAACAAAUCGAAAUUUCAACUCCCAGGCCUUAAAUUUUCGAAAAUUUUGAAAAUUUUUGUAAAUAAACAUUGAAAAAUGUAAAUAAACAUUGGAAAAUGGAAAUAAACAAACCCAGAAUGUAAAUAAACAUUGAAAAAUGUAAAUAAACAUUGGAAAAUGUAAAUAAACAAACCCAGAAUGUAAAUAAACAUUGAAAAUGUAAAUAAACAGACCCAGAAUGUAAAUAAACAUUGAAAAUGUAAACAAACAGACUAAUGUUUAUAUACAAACCGAAAUUUUAAGCGCCUGGCAAUUCAAAAUUAUACUUACCUUGUACUUACCUUUUAUAUACUUACCUUGCGAAUUUUUUAUAUUUUUAAUAAUCAUUUUUUAACAUUUUACUUAAUUCUAAAGGACUGGCAGGAAUGUAGGCUUAGGAAUAAAUAUUUUUUUAAAUAAAAAACUCAUUUAUUUGAAAAUAA